AUGAAAACAAUCUGGUCCAGAAGGAAAAGGGUCAGAGUUGAGAUUGGAACACUCGCUGGAAUCAGAAUCCAUCAUGCCACUGUUCCAAUUCUGUUCAAUUACAAAACCCAUUGUUCCUCUGAUCCACUACCCACACCGAUGAAAACGAAUCGAAGAGUGCCUCAGACGGGUCUGCAAGUUCCGACGCGACACCACAUCCUCCGCAACUUCACCGCCGAAAUCAAAUAUUGCCCCAGCAUCGAGAAUCCGCAAACCGCACACCAGACCCCCGAUACAGUCCUCUCCGCCUCGACAAACUUCUGCGACACAGUUUGGAUCUGUUACGACAAAAGCGUAAGGAAGAAAGGUUUGAGUAAAGAAUGA